ensembl:lncRNA
GAGGUUGUGUGAGUGUUGUGUAGAUGAUACAGGAUGAGGUUGUGUGAGCGUUGUGUAGAUGAUACGGGAUGAGGUUGUGUAGAUGAUACGGGAUGAGGUUGUGUAGAUGAUACGGGAUGAGGUUGUGUAGAUGAUACGGGAUGAGGUUGUGUAGAUGAUACGGGAUGAGGUUGUGUAGAUGAUACGGGAUGAGCGUUGUGUAGAUGAUAUGGGAUGAGGUUGUGUGAGCGUUGUGUAGAUGAUACGGGAUGAGGUUGUGUGAGUGUUGUGUAGAUGAUACGGGAUGAGAUUGUGUAGAUGAUACGGGAUGAGGUGGUGUAGAUGAUACGGGAUGAGGUUGUGUAGAUGAUACGGGAUGAGGUUGUGUAGAUGAUACGGGAUGAGGUUGUGUGAGCGUUGUGUAGAUGAUACGGGAUGAGAUUGUGUAGAUGAUACGGGAUGAGGUUGUGUGAGCGUUGUGUAGAUGAUACGGGAUGAGGUUGUGUAGAUGAUACGGGAUGAGGUUGUGUGAGCGUUGUGUAGAUGAUACGGGAUGAGGUUGUGUAGAUGAUACGGGAUGAGGUUGUGUAGAUGAUACGGGAUGAGGUUGUGUGAGUGUUGUGUAGAUGAUACGGGAUGAGGUUGUGUGAGUGUUGUGUAGAUGAUACGGGAUGAGGUUGCGUGAGCGUUGUGUAGAUGAUACGGGAUGAGGUUGUGUAGAUGAUACGGGAUGAGGUUGUGUGAGCGUUGUGUAGAUGAUACGGGAUGAGGUUGUGUGAGCGUUGUGUAGAUGAUACGGGAUGAGGUUGUGUAGAUGAUACGGGAUGAGGUUGUGUGAGCGUUGUGUAGAUGAUACGGGAUCAUAUUUGGAUAAGCCAUCAUUUGAUUCUUUGAAGCAGUGUCUAUUAAUGAAGUUGAUAUCCUUGAAUAAAACCACAAGGAAAAAAUAGCUUUUUCAAUCAUUUAUUAUCAAUAGAUGUGAUUUUCUUGUGUGGAAAAAGUAAGUACACUUGCCUCAGAAGCUAGUAUUGCCCCCUUUAGCAGAAAAAAUUUCUUGUAGGCGCUUCGCAUAAUUGUCCACUAGUCCCUGACAUCAGCUUGCUGGAACUUUUGACCACUUGUCCAUGCAAUAUUCUUUCAGUUGCAAGAUGUUUGAGGGUUUUCUGCAUGUACUGCCUGUUUCAAAUCCCCAACAUUAUUUCAAUAGGAUUCAAAUCCUGGCUUUGACUAGGACCUUCCAUAAACCUCUAUUUCUUCUUUCUGAGCCAUUUCUUGGUGGAUUUGUUAGUGUGUUUAGGAUCAUUAUCCUGUUGAAAGGUCCACUUUCAGUUCAACUUCAACUUUUGGAUAGAUGGCCCUACAUUAUCUUCAAGCACUCUUUGAUAUGAUGCAGAAUUCAUAGAUGAAUCAAUGAAUGCAAGCUGUACAGUACCUGAGGCAGAGAAACAACCCUAAACCAUAACAUUUCCACCACUGUGCUUCACAGUUGGUAUGAGGUGCUUCUCCUGAAAAGCUGUCUUUGGUCUGCGCCAAACAUGUCUGCUGUUACUGUUGUUAUCUUUGAUUUGUCUGUCCAGAACACAUUAUUUCAAAAGGCCUGGUCUUUGCCUAUAUGCUCAUUGGCAAACUGUGGUCUUUCUUUAAUCUUCUUUUUAGACAGCAAAGGCUUUUUCUUGGCACAUCUCCCAUGCC